CGGGGCUAAGCAUGGUGCCGAAGCUUUGAAUUCCGCGUAAGCGGUCUGGUAGGGGAGCGUUCUUCACGGGCUGAAGUCGAAGCCGUAAGGCCCGAUGGACUGUGGAGAAGUGAUUAUGCUGACAUGAGUAACGAUAAAACGGGUGAAAAACCCGUUCGCCGUAAACCCAAGGUUUUCCGGGUAAAGGUAAUCUUCCCGGAGUUAGUCGGCCCCUAAGGCGAGGCUGAAAGGCGUAGCUGAUGGGAAGCGUGUUAAUAUUCACGCACUUGUGGAAAUGUGCGAUGGAGGGACGCAGG
rnacentral:rRNA from 1 species